AUACUCAGGCUCUUCCCGAUCUAACGGUCGCAAACCUACUCCCACACUCCCGCUCCGCCCCUUCCCAUUUCUAGGGUUUUGCGACUCCCCGAAACCCCUCCCCUCCAUGGCCCUAAUCCUGAUCGACUUCUAAAACCCCCUCAACCAUGGCGUCGCCUCCCUCGUCUCCUCCGAGCCCCAAGAAGCUCAAGAUGUCGUCCUCCACCUCCGAAGCCGACCCCGACGCCGACGCCUCCGCCGCCGCCUCCGGCGAGCCGCGCCGCCGCUACAAACGGCGCAAGGUCGCCAUCUUCCUCGGCUACUGCGGCGCCGGGUACCAGGGCAUGCAGAAGAACCCCGGGGCGCGCACCAUCGAGGGCGACCUCGAGGAGGCCCUCUUCCUCGCCGGCGCCGUCCCCGACGCCGACCGUGGCGCGCCCCGCCGCUACGACUGGGCGCGCUCCGCGCGCACCGACAAGGGCGUGAGCGCCGCUGCGCAGGUCGUCUCCGGGCGGUUCUACAUCGACCCUCCGGGCCUCGUCGCGCGCCUCAGCGCCCACCUCCCCGAUCAGAUCCGGAUCUUCGGGUACAAGCGCGUGACCAACUCGUUCAAUGCGAAGAAGUUUUGCGACCGGCGAAGGUACGUGUAUCUUCUCCCCGUGUUUGCCCUAGAUCCGAGCGCGCACCCCGACAGGGAGGCCGUGAUGGCGAGCUUGGGGUCCGGGAAUGAGCUCGCUCGAUGUGUUGAGUGCUCCGAAAGGGGGAGGAAGGUUCCUGGGAUCAUGGGUCGGGGGCCGAAAGGUUCGAACGGGGGAGAAAAAUCCAAACUUUGUGGUGGGGAAACGGGUGGAGAUGAAAAUGGUGUCUCUAAUUUGAAUUUGACUAGUGUGGUUUCUGCUUGUGAAGAGCGAAAUGAUGCUUGCAAGAGCGAAUUAGAAUGCAGUAACACAGAAAAGCCAGAACAUGGCAGCGAACAAGGUGGCGGAGAGGAUGAUGGCGCCUCUAACCUGAAUUCAAUGAGUAGUGUUUUGCAACCAGAGAAGGAGCGUGAAGUUGGUAAUGGUGGUUUUGAAUCGAGAGAAGGUGAAGAGUCUUGUGGUAAUUCACGCGCAGAUUCGGUUUCAAAGCACGGUACUUUAGGGUCCGAGGAACUAGCAGCUGAUGAGAAAUCUAAGUUGGUGGAAGGAAGAUUGACGGAAGAGGAGACCGCCAAAGGUGGAGUAGUUGAGAGUACUGCUAAUGAAGAAGCUGUUCUUGCGAUCAAAAGUGGCUUUUGUUACGGAGAUGAGGAAAAGGAGAGGUUUAAUAGAAUUCUAAAGCAUUAUGUUGGAACCCACAACUUCCAUAACUUCACCACGAGAACGAAGGCCGAAGAUCCUUCUGCCAGGAGAUAUAUUAUUUCUUUCGAGGCAGAUCGUGUUGUUACUAUUGACGGAAUCGAUUUUGUCAAGUGCGAGGUUGUUGGUCAGAGUUUUAUGCUCCAUCAAAUCCGGAAGAUGAUCGGCCUUGCUGUUGCAGUGAUGAGGAACUGCGCUCCAGAGUCACUGAUGGAGGUUGCCUUAAAAAAGGAGGUAAGCAUAAAUGUACCAACAGCACCUGAGGUGGGGCUCUACCUGGAUGAAUGUCUCUUCAGUUCAUAUAACAAAAAGUGGCGCGAUUCGCAUGAGGAGAUUUCAAUGGCAUCUUAUGCUGAAGAGGCUGAAGAGUUUAGGAUGAAGCAUAUAUACCCUCACAUUGCACAAAUGGAGCACAAGGAGGGAGCUGUAGCAUUGUGGCUUCACUCGCUGAACCUCCGUAAUUACCCGGAUUUCCAUUUUGUGGACACUAAUAGCGAGUCUCUUGGUGCAGAACAAACAAAACAAGAUAAUUUGGGGCAGUGACUGCUUCAAUGGAGAUUGAAGAUGUGUGACAUCUUUGUCUCGGUCCAAACGAGGGAACAUAAAGAAAAAAAAAAAAAAGGGGGGGCAGCAAACAGUUAACACGCUCCCUAUGUUCAUUCAAGUAAUUUUGUUGGAUGCGUAAAGCUUUUUCUUCAUUUGUUGUAUUAGGUCCUCUCAAGUCUCUACUUGGACAAAGAUAAGUAUAGAACAUGUCACGCGCUAUUUGUUUUAUUUUAUGAAAAGCAAACUUAUUGUGCUUAUGUGCUUACUGAUCUUUUCCUGGACUGAUGAGGCUGGCUAGGCAGAAGACGAGGAAAGAUGGAUCCUGACAUCGUAAAUGAAGGAGAGCAUUUACUGAUACGGGGAACAACAUGUGUUGGUUGUUUUAGGUGGAAUGCGAGAGGGAUGUGUAGCAUUCUAAACAAACUGUGGCGAAAUUACUCUCUUCAUGAAUUUUUAGAUGGAAAUAAAGGUUACACACUGUUUUUAGUACUGGAAAUGUGCUUCUUGCAUCAGCAAAUUGGUGGAUAAAGGAUAUAUGUUGUAGCAGAUAUUGGCUUUUCUGCAGGCAGACAAUCAAUGCGAAAUAUUCUCCUUCUAAAUUGUGUUUGUACUCAUGCUCUUCUGGUGUUGCUUUGGUAGUUGUUGGCCUAUCUCUGAGUAUCUGCACUUAUGAAGGUUCAAUAUCUAAGUUUCUGUUUCUUUUCUCAAAAAAAAUAUCUAAGUUUCUGUUUCAGCUUUUUCUGGCCCUUAGGAGCCUUGUUAUUAUGGAUUGACAUAGCAUUUGCCGAAGUUUAA